UGUAUUGCAGAACAACAACAAGCCCGCGACGUUAUCCUUUGCUAGGCAUCCAUUCUGCGUGGUAAUCGUUGAAAAUGGUACACUCGUGUUGUGUGAAAGACUGCCAUUCUAGGUCCCAUGAUAGAAACGAAUGCAAAAAGAAUGGGAUAGGUUUUUUGUUAGCAUUCCCGCCGGGAAGAGAAGAUAUGGAACCCAGAUGAGUUGACCAAGAGACUUCGAAUGGUUGCAACGGUGAGAAGGCCAUCACUUUUCAUUCAUCAACUGAAAACAUGUCGGGGCUGUUCCUUACAUUUCCAUAAAGGAAAACCAGCACAUGAAAUAAAUGAUGCAGACCCUGACUGGGCACCAUCCUUACGCCUGGGACACACAUGUGUUCAGCCCACCAACGUGGACCGCUCUUCUAGACGAGUUAGGCAUGAGAAAUUGAGGAUGGAGGAAGACGUUGGUGAGCUACAGGAGGAGCCUUCAGCGCCCUUUAGAUUCUCCUUCUGACCUUCAUGCGCCUGCGUUUGGACCUGCCUGCACUACACAUUGCACACAUAUUCUAUGUUUCCCGUAAGACUGUGUAUUGAGUGUUCAAUGACAUGGUGCCCUUUUUACAUGCUGACUUCAGACGAGCAAUUGUUUGGCCCAACAGAGAAACACUCUAUAAAACAAUGCCUCACGAGUUUGUUGAGUCCUUCAGACGCAGAGUUGCAGUGAUUAUUGAUUUUUUAAAAAAUUUUUACAGAGAAACCAUCAAAUCUUAAGGCGCGUGCGCAAAUGUUUUCUAGUUACAAGCAUAACUACACCGUGAAAUACCUAAUUGGAAUCACACCAAAGGGGGGAAUUUGUUUGAUGUCAAAAGGUUGGGGUGGUCGCACAAGUGACAAACAUAUCACCUUGAACAGUGCUUUUUUAAUAACCUUUUGCCCGGGGACAUUGUCUUGACUGUCAGAGGCUUUGAUAUUCAAGAACAUGUGGGUAUGUUAUGUGCUGAGGUCAAACUCCCUGCGUUCACAAAAGGUCGCUGCCAUGUUGAAUGGGUAAUUGGUAAUCUUUGCCAGAAGUGUAAGAUCCUAAUAGGAACUAUACCUAUUAACUUGGUUCUGCCAUGUGACGGCGAAGAUUGCACAUUGUUGGAUAAGAUUGUUUAUGUAUGUGGUGCCCUUACAAACCUUUGCCCAACUGUUGUGUAGUUUGUACUGUUAUACCAUUUACUAUGCUAACCAUUUCAGCCUUUCAAACUUAGCUGUUAUUGAUAUUUUGUAUUUUGUUGUGACUUGUAUUUAAUAAAACAUUAAGUCAU